GACGUAGGGUGCAAGCGUUGUCCGGAAUCAUUGGGCGUAAAGAGCGUGUAGGCGGCCUGAUCAGUCCGCUGUAAAAGUCCAGGGCUCAACCCUGGAAGGCCGGUGGAUACUGUCAGGCUAGAGUCCGGAAGAGGCGAGUGGAAUUCCUGGUGUAGCGGUGAAAUGCGCAGAUAUCAGGAGGAACACCAAUGGCGAAGGCAGCUCGCUGGGACGGUACUGACGCUGAGACGCGAAAGCAUGGGGAGCGAACAGG
rnacentral:rRNA from 1 species